rnacentral:misc_RNA from 1 species
UCCGGUUUGGCACCGGCAGACUCCCUAGAGUUCCCGGCAUGACCCGCCAGCAACUAAUGACAAGGGUUGCGCUCGUUGCGGGACUUAACCCAACAUCUCACGACACGAGCUGACGACAGCCAUGCAGCACCUGUGUUCCCGUUCCCUUUCGGGCACACCCGGCUUUCACAGGGCUCCAGGACAUGUCAAGGGUAGGUAAGGUUUUUCGCGUUGCAUCGAAUUAAUCCACAUAAUCCACCGCUUGUGCGGGUCCCCGUCAAUUCCUUUGAGUUUUAACCUUGCGGCCGUACUCCCCAGGCGGUCAACUUCACGCGUUAGCUGCGGUACUGAGAAAUCGCUUCCCCAACACCUAGUUGACAUCGUUUAGGGCGUGGACUAC